rnacentral:rRNA from 1 species
UCAGCCGGUCUCGCGAAUGCCUUAGAUUUAAGUUGAUCAUGGCUCAGGNCGAANGCGUACGGCGUGCCUAAUACAUGCAAGUCGAGCGAACAGAGAAGGAGCUUGCUCCUUUGACGUUAGCGGCAGACGGGUGAGUAACACGUGGGCAACCUACCUUAUAGUUUGGGAUAACUCCGGGAAACCGGGGCUAAUACCGAAUAAUCUAUUUUACUUCAUGGUGAAAUACUGAAAGACGGUUUCGGCUGUCGCUAUAAGGUGGGCCCGCGGCGCAUUAGCUAGUUGGUGAGGUAACGGCUCACCAAGGCGACGAUGCGUAGCCGACCUGAGAGGGUGAUCGGCCACACUGGGACUGAGACACGGCCCAGACUCCUACGGGAGGCAGCAGUAGGGAAUCUUCCACAAUGGGCGAAAGCCUGAUGGAGCAACGCCGCGUGAGUGAAGAAGGUUUUCGGAUCGUAAAACUCUGUUGUAAGGGAAGAACAAGUACAGUAGUAACUGGCUGUACCUUGACGGUACCUUAUUAGAAAGCCACGGCUAACUACGUGCCAGCAGCCGCGGUAAUACGUAGAGUGGCAAGCGUUGUCCGGAAUUAUUGGGCGUAAAGCGCGCGCAGNGCGGGUCUUUUAAGUUCUUGAUGUGNAAGGCCACGGUCAACCGUGGACGGGUCCUUGGAAACCUGGGGAC